CCAAGGAGUCUAACAUGUGCGCGAGUCAUUGGGUCUUGCUCAGGCCCAAAGGCGCAAUGAAAGUGAAGGCCGGCUCGGUCGGCUGCGUUGGGAUCCCGCCCUCGACGGCGGGCGCACCAACGGCCCGUCCCAGUCGCUGCGUCGACGGGGCGGAGUGAGAGCGUACACGUUGGGACCCGAAAGAUGGUGAACUAUGCCUGGGCAGGACGAAGCCAGAGGAAACUCUGGUGGAGGUCCGCAGCGAUUCUGACGUGCAAAUCGAUCGUCAGACCUGGGUAUAGGGGCGAAAGACUAAUCGAACCAUCUAGUAGCUGGUUCCCUCCGAAGUUUCCCUCAGGAUAGCUGGCGCUCGGAGGAAGCAUUCUCAUCCGGUAAAGCGAAUGAUUAGAGGCCUUGGGGCCGAAACGACCUCAACCUAUUCUCAAACUUUAAAUGGGUGAGAAGUCCGGCUUGCUCGACUGAAGCCCGGACGUGAGGAUGCGAGUGCCCAGUGGGCCACUUUUG
rnacentral:rRNA from 1 species